rnacentral:pre_miRNA from 1 species
GAUUUCAACUGAAAAAGUCAUCAACAACAAAGUUGUAUAACUUAUUAAUAUCUAUAACUUUUAUUUGGGUCAUUUCUUCAUCCGAUAAAGUGAUAGAAACAUUGUUCACAAAAAUUACAUAUCUCUCUUAUAGUUUAUAAACUAUAUAUGAGAUAUGUACAUUUUAUUAACAAUGUUACAAAUUACUUUAUCGGAUGAAGAAAUGACCCAAAUAAAAGUUAUAGAUCUUGAUGAGUUAUACUAUUUUGUUAUUAAUGACUUUUUCAGUUGAAAUC